rnacentral:lncRNA from 1 species
AUUUCGUAUAUUUUUAUUUUAGUAUUUUAUGAUUUAAAGUUUGUUAAAUUAAUACCUAGUGAUUUUCCUUUUUUCUUUGUAUUAUUUUCUCCACUAAUUUUUUUCAUCAAAUUAGUGGCAAAGUUAAAACUAUAAAGUACUAAAGUAAAUAUUCAAUAAACCUAGGUUGGGUAUCUGAAGUUUUUUGUAUAUAAUUUAACGAAGUGUUAACAGAGGAGCUGACCAAAAGAGAAAAAUGAAAUCAUAGAAUACUAAAUUAAUACAUUUUAAAUCACAUGAUAUUAAAGUAAGAAAGUGUGAAAUCACAGAAAUGACAUUUUAAAGUUUACCCUAGAAUAAAAUAUAGAGUAAUACUAUAUGUACAUACCAAAAUAGGAUAUAUACAUUUUACUCCGACUCUAUUCCAAUACUAUUAAUAUUUUAUUUGUCACGUCAUUUUUUUAUUUUUAUUAUAAAUCAUUUAAAUUUUUAUCGGAUAAAAAAUGAAAAAUUUAUAUCUUUUUU